rnacentral:lncRNA from 1 species
AGACUUGAUACAGACAUUGCUGCAUGAAACCCUCUGACUUUUUCUACAUUGCAGACAGCAACAAAAUGAACAUGGAAAUCCCUCCUAGCUUUAACAUUCAUAAAUAACUGAACCACUUACCUGUCUGAAAAAGAUGAUGACCAAAACAAAUCUCAGUAUGUAUAGUUAAUUUUUAAGCACUCUGCUACCAAGCUGUAUUGUCACCAGGUUACAUCUUCAGCCUUCGUUUAUACGCUUACCUAGCAACAUCUCAUCUAUGAAGCUCUGAGCUCUCUGGAGCCUUGGAAGCUCUUUGCUUUGACAAUGAAGUUCAGCCAUUGAGUGAUUCUACAAAGCUGCUGCACUUCUACAGCCAUCAAACAGAAGGUCAGUGAGAUGAAGACGUCACACUGUCUUUUUCACACUGGCAGAGGUCAAAACAGGACUUCAGGACCUUGCAGAAGAAGUUCCUCAAUGUUUUGAACUUGCCAUCUGAACCAUCUGAAGACACAGAUUGGUACACACAGAGGUACCUAAAAAAACCCACGUGAUUUUACAUACAAGCAUGAAAACAUAGGAAACAGCACCAAGAGAAACUGCUGAGGACCAUGGAUGGGAUGCUGCAGCACAACAUCACAGUGGGGAUCUCAUCCUGCAUUUCUUUCUGACUCUCUUUCAUCAGUGUGAAGUGGAAGUGAAGACAGCCAAAGUCUUGGGUCUCAUCUUGCUGCUCUCAGAUCCUUGGCCAAUGGCACUCUGGAUAGUUCCAUCUACAGCAAAUCUUACGGUGCAACACCCGCAGUUCAUGCACUGGUGUAGAACUUCCCAGUAUCUUUGAACCUCUGGGUGAGGCCAGUGGCAUCUGAAUGAGAAAUGGAAGCCUCAGAAUGACAUGGGUAUGGAAGACUCAGUUUGCAGAGUUAAGGUCACACAGUGUGUGAUUUCUCUUUUCCAAAUUCCUUAAUGUCAAUGUAUGAUAAAAUACACUUUUAGUUAAUAACCAUAGUUCAUAAAAAUUAACAUGAGACUCCUGCCACCCAUACUGGAAGCAGACUGAACAGGAAUCACAGCAUCCACCAAAUUCUGUUUGUUCAAUAAAACCAACGGCAAAAAAGAGCAAGGGAGGAGUAUGUUGACAAAAUGUGCAGUACACUAUAAAGUAUUUGACACUUCCUCAGACAUGCCAAAGGCAACUGGGCUCUGGAGUAUUUGGAAAGAAGGAGAAUGAAGUACUUUACUGUGUUAAUGCUAGGAGUUAUUGUAUUGUAUUGUAUUGUAUUCCACUACUGACUAAGGAAGAUGGUGGUAUCUAUUAAAGAUCUUUUUUUUUUUAAUGGCAAAACUUUUCCAAAAUCUCCAAAAGACCAUGGAAACCCCGGGGAAAAAACAGAUGGCUGGAAAAAAAACUAAAUUAAUGAUGAUAUUUACAAAUCAAGGAUAACAUAGAGGACACAGAAAAUGGUUAAUAUGCCAUCAGUAUAAGGCGAAACUGAAGAAUCUGGAUAACUAUUAUCCAUGAAAAGGAAUAAAAGAUACACAAUGAAAUGUAUAAAUGCAAAACAAUAUGGGCUUAUGGCAAAGUGAAACAAACCUAAUAUUAAAAAAUAAAUAAAUUUUUUGGUUGAUCAAGAUAGAUGGAAAGAUUUCUUUAAAACAUUUAGCUUCAUUCUGCAUUUAACCCUUAUUUAUAAAACUGUUUCUUAAAAUACCAUUGUUGAAUAUGUAAAAUGGGCUUAAGCACUGGCUAAAUAAUAGUCUCAAUGAAUAAAUGUGCAAU